GAAUGGGACAGGUGCUUAUAAAAGAGGCAUGAGAUAGCUUUUUUGCCACUUCUUUCAUAUGAGAAUACAGUUCAAAAGUACUAUCUGUGAGGAAUGGUCCCUCACCAGGCAUUGAAUCUUCCAGUAACUUGAUUUUGGACUUUCCAAUCUCCAGAACUGUGAGAAAUACAUUUCCUUGGUUUACAAUAUAAUCGAUGUUUAGUAUUUUGUUAAAGCAGACUGAACAGGCUAGGAUAUAUUACCCUUAAUAUAAUCAUUCCAACAAGAGAAGAAGCCAGCAGAAUUGGUAGAGCGUAUAGGCAGUGGGGGUUCAGCAACCAUGUGAAUCAAAGUUAAAAGUUCAACCAGGAACUAUAAAAGAAAGAAAUGCUCUGGACACUUGUUAAAAAUGGCAAGGAAACUGUAGUCCCAGCUACUCCAGAGGCUGAAGCAGGAAGAUCACUUGAGGCCAGAGUUUGAAGCCAGCCUUGGCAACAUAACAAGACCCCAUCUCUAGAAAAAGAAAAAAAAGACAAGGAGACUUCAGUCAAGACUCUUGCAAUAUGGAUCAAGACUGUUUCAAUAAAAGAGAGCAAUUAUAUUCAACUUCACUGAAAGAAAAGGUGGGAGAAUUUUAAAAUGUUGGAAUAA
rnacentral:lncRNA from 1 species